GCAAUCUACCUUUUACAGAGGGAUAGCCCAGAGAAAUUUGGAUUAAUACCUCAUAGUAUUAUUGAAUGGCAUCAUUUAAUAAUUAAAGUCACAACGGUAAAAGAUGAGCAUGCGUCCCAUUAGCUUGUUGGUAAGGUAACGGCUUACCAAGGCAACGAUGGGUAGGGGUCCUGAGAGGGAGAUCC
rnacentral:rRNA from 1 species